UAGGGAAUAUUGGGCAAUGGGCGAGAGCCUGACCCAGCCAUGCCGCGUGCCGGAUGAAGGCCUUCUGGGUUGUAAACGGCUUUUCUCAGGGAAGAAAAAGGGUAUGCGUACCACACUGACGGUACCUGAGGAAUAAGCACCGGCUAACUCCGUGCCAGCAGCCGCGGUAAUACGGAGGGUGCAAGCGUUGUCCGGAUUUAUUGGGUUUAAAGGGUGCGUAGGUGGCCUGGUAAGUCCGUGGUGAAAGCCUCUUGCUCAACAAGAGAACUGCCAUGGAUACUGCCGGGCUUGAGUCCAGACGAGGUUGGCGGAAUAGAGGCUGUAGCGGUGAAAUGCAUAGAUAGCCUCUAGAACCCCGAUUGCGUAGGCAGCUGACUAGGCUGGUACUGACACUGAGGCACGAAAGCGUGGGGAGCGAACAGG
rnacentral:rRNA from 1 species